rfam:Bartonella tamiae Th239 genomic scaffold supercont1.1, whole genome shotgun sequence.
UUUCGGCCUUCCAACCGCCGAGAUUACUGAAGAGGCACACCUCAUUGCCUUUCGUGCGGAAACGGUUUUCGUAUUUCCAAUCAAAAAGGCAGACAAAGCCGAACAAUGCGUUUAUCGCGCUGUUCCUUCGCCGCAGACCUUAUGCAUGAAUU